UACGGAGGGUGCAAACGUUGCUCGGAAUCAUUGGGCGUAAAGCGCACGUAGGCGGCCUGUUAAGUCGGGUGUGAAAGCCCUGGGCUCAACCCGGGAAUUGCGCUUGAUACUGGCGUGCUCGAAUCCGGGAGAGGUUGGUGGAAUUCCCAGUGUAGAGGUGAAAUUCGUAGAGAUUGGGAAGAACACCGGUGGCGAAGGCGGCCAACUGGACCGGUAUUGACGCUGAGGCGCGAAAGCGUGGGGAGCAAACAGG
rnacentral:rRNA from 1 species